rnacentral:rRNA from 1 species
AGUGAACGCUGGCGGUAGGCCUAACACAUGCAAGUCGAACGGCAGCACAGUAAGAGCUUGCUCUUACGGUUGGCGAGUGGCGGACGGGUGAGGAAUACAUCGGAAUCUACUUUUUCGUGGGGGAUAACGUAGGGAAACUUACGCUAAUACCGCAUACGACCUACGGGUGAAAUCAGGGGAGCUUCGGACCUUGCGCGAUUGAAUGAGCCGAUGUCGGAUUAGCUAGUUGGCGGGGUAAAGGCCCACCAAGGCGACGAUCCGUAGCUGGUCUGAGAGGAUGAUCAGCCACACUGGAACUGAGACACGGUCCAGACUCCUACGGGAGGCAGCAGUGGGGAAUAUUGGACAAUGGGCGAAAGCCUGAUCCAGCAAUACCGCGUGAGUGAAGAAGGCCUUCGGGUUGUAAAGCCCUUUUGUUGGGAAAGAAAAGCAGCAGGUUAAUACCCCGCUGUUCUGACGGUACCCAAAGAAUAAGCACCGGCUAACUUCGUG